GAGCAGCCGCGAUUGUGAAGCUGCAGUUUCACAAAUUUGGACAUACUGGAGUUCCAACCUCUGCCACAUUUAACUCUGGUUUCAUGCUACAUUUGAAUUCAGCCAAAUUGUAUGUUAUUCACUAAAAUGAUUUCCAGACUCUCAAGAAUUCAGAUUUCAGGUGCACACAAACACUAGGUAUCCAUUCAAGGAGCCAGAGGAAAGUAUCAUGGUCCAAGGCAUAAAUGAAUCAAGUUUCAGAGAUGGUCAUCCAAUGGCCAGAGGCAGUUGAUGUCCAUUUCAGGCAAAGGCAAUAGUAGGGCUAUUAUCAGGGCAGUGCUGAAAAAAGGCAAGGAUCAUGUUGGCAAUUCCUUCUAUCUUGGAGCUACCUCAGUGGAGUAGAAAGUAAGAAACCUGAGCCCUGCUGCUACAUUCCUCUCUUUGAACUUGGUGGCACCAGUAUUAAUGGCUGUAAAAGGCAGAAUCAAUCAAUCAAGAGGCCAGCUUUGUGCUUGCAUAUUCCAAGCACAUCCCCGCACUUCAGGAUACGAGAUCACAGUGUUAUCCAGCCAAAUUUGAUCAACAAAUGCAGUUCCCCUGUGCCACAGCAAUCUCAGAUGAAGAUGUUAUUAUGUGGAACUGAGCAAAGUGAUAAAGACAGUACAGAGAAAGGGAGGAGGGGGUCUAGCUGAGGCUUCCUAACAGCCUUGGAUGUUUUUGUUGGGCGUUUCUCCAGCAUCCUUUUUGCUAAGGUUUUUAAAAAGUUAGGGUUAUUUAAAAAUAUAGAAUUCUGGGGCAUCCGCAGUACUGCUCUUUUUCACAAACUCAGACACUACCAGUUAUUUUAGGGAAUAGUGCCAUAUAUUAAAGAGCGAGACCCUGGGCAGUUAUUGUCUAGCAAUUAAUAAUAUAUUUAUGUUAUGGAGAGAGAGAGAGAGAGAGAGAGAGAGAGAGAGAGAGAGAGUGUGUAUACACACUAUUCUGCACUUAUGACAUUCCACCCUCAUUAUGAAAACUGUUAUCUGAAGGGCAAAAAUACAUUUUAAAUUAUGAUCACUUUGGACAGAGCCCCCCCCCCCGUUCCUACCCUGGUUGCGACAAGACUCAUGCAACUGUGUCAGUAUUUAAGUGCAUUUCAAGCAAAAAAUGUACACGAGGAUUUUAUUUUGCCAAUAGCUUUCCACUUUGCAACUGCCCUGCAGUUAUUUUACAUUAUUUAAUCCAAAAUACCAUCUUUUUGAUUCUACCUUUCUUUUGCUUUUUAAAUCUUUAAUGGGAGCCGUUGGCAGUCCAAGGGUACAAUUAUUAGAUAUCUACAGAAAGAAAUUGAAAAAUUAAUAAUACUUUCCCAUUCUGUACUACAUAUAAAAAUUAUCUAGUCUUAGUGGAGUUCUAUAGAUUCAAACAGGCACCCCCAACAUGGUUGAAGGGGGGUGGGGUGCGGUGGGGGGGUUGUGGGAAUCCUAUUCUGAAUUAGUACAGCCUACAUUUAAAUCUUUGCAGUCAUCAGUUUUAAGUAAGGCUUGGGGGAUACUCUAUUAUGUUUUCAAGUCAGAAAUUUAUUUUAAAUCAUUUCUUAAUUAAAGGACAUUUAUUAGAGCAGCUUAUGCUACAUACUAUCUAAAAUCCCAGGUAAAGGUACCAUAAACUAAUCAGACUAACGAUAUUAAAAUUGUUUAUUGCCCUUUUAUGGAUUUUGCUACUUAAGUUACCAUUUUUCACAACUAUAUGCAAACUGUGUGACAUCACGCAUAUCAAUUUAUUAGGGAGAGUGAUAUAUGCUUUCAUCUGACCUUUGUCUAAAUAUUCCUUUAACCACAGCUGGGGGGCGGGGGGCAGCCCCAGACUCAUCUGUCAGCAAGAGAGCAGUAUAAAACUGCUACAUCUAUUAACAUUUGUUUUCUUUCACUAUUAUUAAACUCAAAAGCCAAAUCCAACUGGAAAAAUGAUGCCAUUUGGGUUUCCUUGUCAUCAUGUGAUAAGUAUGAGAAAUGUAUGUGCAAUGGCCAAAUGGCCAAUAGACAAAACACCCACUCCAAGUGACGUACUGUUUUCCAUACUGCACAGACAAAAUCAAAACAACAGAACUGCUGCAAACAAAAACAAAAUCACAUUUCCCAUAAGCAUUCCAGACAGAGCAAUUUUACAGGAAAAGAA